AGAGUGGUGCAAGAGGCACUAGAUACACUGAUUAUGGGAAACAAAACAACCAUUCUGAUAGCACAUAGGGCUGCAAUGAUGAGGCAUGUUGACAAUAUCGUGGUUCUAAAUGGAGGACGAAUAGUUGAGGAAGGGACCCAUGAUUCUUUGAUGGUGAAGAACGGCUUUUAUGUCAGGCUGGUGCAACCCCCCCUUUGGAAGGGGUUACGACAGCAUCGGUUGGUUGACAUUUGGGCAUAGUUCUUUUGUAUAGCUCUUAUUGGCCAUUUUUAUAUUGCUGGAACUUGUUGGCAAUAUGGAAGAAUACAUUCCGGAGUGGGGAAGUACAAACAAGAAUUCUGAGGCUUGUAACAAUUUUUGCAUGGUUGGAUGGGCGGGUUGCAGUGGUGACAGUGACAGUUAUAGUGUUCGAAUGUAGGGUUUAGGAAUAGGGAUUUUGGAGCUUGGUUGGCCAUUGAGGACAUGCUCUCGGGGCUAGAUGCGUAUUCUUUUUGGAGGCAAGGAUUAGGUUGUUGCCUUGUCUCCGCGGCGGUAUAUUGAUUUGUUCUUUAAUCAAAAAAUGGGUUGGAGGGGAGAUAAUUCUAGUCCUAAUGAGGUGUGCUUCUUGGGUUUUGUUUUUGGUUUUUCUAGAUAUUCUUUUCUGGCUUUCUUAUGGAUUAAUGUGACUCUGACUAGCUUGGACGAUGAUGAAUGUGUUUCAUACUGUAAAUUUACAUUUGUGAAAAUGAAAGCAAGUUUAGAAGAGAAAAGAGGUGGAGGGUAUUUGUUGUAAUCUUCCUUUGUAAAUAAC
rnacentral:misc_RNA from 1 species